GCGUGUGACUUUUGGACACAUGCUAACUUUUCAAGCCCUGUUUCCAUAUCUGCGUAGUGGGAAUGACGGCAUCACCUCACAGAUUUGUUCUGAGAAUUAAUAUGUAAGUUGAAGCAAGUUCCCUCCCCCAUUAAAUAGGGGUAACGACGGCAUCUACUUUUUAGAACCAGGCGGAGGAUUCAAGGAGAUAAUGCCUGUUUAUAAUAGGCGAGGUGCUAUUGUCAAGUGAUGACUGCCAAUCAAGGUAAUUUUGACCUGGAUUUUAAUUUUUUACUCCUAAAACGUUUAGGCGACAUCUGGAAAUAUGUGGGGACAUUUUUGGUUUGACAUCUGGC